rnacentral:rRNA from 1 species
GGAUCAGGUAGGAAUACCCGCUGAACUUAAGCAUAUCAAUAGCCGGAAGGA